GAUGAACGCUGGCGGCGUGCUUAACACAUGCAAGUCGAACGGUGAAGCAGAGCUUGCUCUGUGGAUCAGUGGCGAACGGGUGAGUAACACGUGAGCAACCUGCCCCGGACUCUGGGAUAAGCGCUGGAAACGGCGUCUAAUACCGGAUACGAGACAAGACGGCAUCGUCAUUGUCUGGAAAGAUUUUUUGGUCUGGGAUGGGCUCGCGGCCUAUCAGCUUGUUGGUGAGGUAAUGGCUCACCAAGGCGUCGACGGGUAGCCGGCCUGAGAGGGUGACCGGCCACACUGGGACUGAGACACGGCCCAGACUCCUACGGGAGGCAGCAGUGGGGAAUAUUGCACAAUGGGCGAAAGCCUGAUGCAGCAACGCCGCGUGAGGGAUGACGGCCUUCGGGUUGUAAACCUCUUUUAGCAGGGAAGAAGCGAAAGUGACGGUACCUGCAGAAAAAGCGCCGGCUAACUACGUGCCAGCAGCCGCGGUAAUACGUAGGGCGCAAGCGUUAUCCGGAAUUAUUGGGCGUAAAGAGCUCGUAGGCGGUUUGUCGCGUCUGCUGUGAAAUCCCGAGGCUCAACCUCGGGCCUGCAGUGGGUACGGGCAGACUAGAGUGCGGUAGGGGAGAUUGGAAUUCCUGGUGUAGCGGUGGAAUGCGCAGAUAUCAGGAGGAACACCGAUGGCGAAGGCAGAUCUCUGGGCCGUAACUGACGCUGAGGAGCGAAAGGGUGGGGAGCAAACAGGCUUAGAUACCCUGGUAGUCCACCCCGUAAACGUUGGGAACUAGUUGUGGGGUCCAUUCCACGGAUUCCGUGACGCAGCUAACGCAUUAAGUUCCCCGCCUGGGGAGUACGGCCGCAAGGCUAAAACUCAAAGGAAUUGACGGGGACCCGCACAAGCGGCGGAGCAUGCGGAUUAAUUCGAUGCAACGCGAAGAACCUUACCAAGGCUUGACAUAUACGAGAACACUUCAGAAAUGAAGGACUCUUUGGACACUCGUAUACAGGUGGUGCAUGGUUGUCGUCAGCUCGUGUCGUGAGAUGUUGGGUUAAGUCCCGCAACGAGCGCAACCCUCGUUCUAUGUUGCCAGCACGUAAUGGUGGGAACU
rnacentral:rRNA from 2 species